rnacentral:sRNA from 1 species
GAAAAGUGAAAAACUAAAAAUGAAAAGUGAUGCCCUUCGGGCGUUUAACUGUUGUGCUGUUGAAUGGUUGAGUUGUUUGAUUGUUGGAUGGAAGCUGAUGGCUGAUUGCUGAAUACUGACCGAUAAAUUACAUCAGGCUUACAGCCCUCUGAACAAGGUGGGCAUGGACCCCACCCUUACGGGAUGGGGCUGAAACAGAACGGGCUUUCAGCCCUUGUAUGCCCUUGGGGCGUUUGAACAAUGGUCAAUGGUUAAUGGUCAAUGGUUAUACGUGGUACAGACCAAAUCAUGUACUCUGCAUGAUAAUUGACAAUUAAAUUACGCUGGCUGCUGAACGCUAACUAACCAACAACUAAAUAUCUAAACACUCGAAGGGGAAUAUGGCCUUAAAC